rnacentral:rRNA from 1 species
GACGAACGCUGGCGGCGUGCUUAACACAUGCAAGUCGAACGGAAAGGCCCUGCUUUUGUGGGGUGCUCGAGUGGCGAACGGGUGAGUAACACGUGAGUAACCUGCCCUUGACUUUGGGAUAACUUCAGGAAACUGGGGCUACUACCGGAUAGGAGCUCCUGCUGCAUGGUGGGGGUUGGAAAGUUUCGGCGGUUGGGGAUGGACUCGCGGCUUAUCAGCUUGUUGGUGGGGGAGUGGCUUACCAAGGCUUUGACGGGUAGCCGGCCUGAGAGGGUGACCGGCCACAUUGGGACUGAGAGAGGGCCCAGACUCCUACGGGAGGCAGCAGUGGGAAAUAUUGCACAAUGGGCGGAAGCCUGAUGCAGCAACGCCGCGUGCGGGAUGACGGCCUUCGGGUUGUAAACCGCUUUCGCCUGUGACGAAGCGUGAGUGACGGUAAUGGGUAAAGAAGCACCGGCUAACUACGUG